UACGUAGGCAGCAAGCGUUGUUCGGAGUUACUGGGCGUAAAGGGUGUGUAGGCGGUUCUUUAAGUUUGGUGUGAAAUCUCCCGGCUCAACCGGGAGGGUGCGCCGAAAACUGAAGGCUAGAGUGCGGGAGAGGAGAGUGAAUUCCUGGUGUAGCGGUGAAAUGCGUAGAUAUCAGGAGGAACACCGGUGGUGUAAACGGCUCUCUGGACCGUAACUGACGCUGAGACACGAAAGCGUGGGUAGCAAACAGG
rnacentral:rRNA from 1 species